GAUAAACGCUGGCGGCGUGCCUAACACAUGCAAGUCGUGCGGUAACAGGAAUAGUUUACUAUUUGCUGACGAGCGGCGAACGGCUGAGUAACACGUAAAGAACCUGCCCAUAGGUCUGGGAUAACCACGAGAAAUCGGGGCUAAUACCGGAUGUGUCAUCGGACCGCAUGGUCCGCUGAUGAAAGGCGCUCCGGCGUCGCCCAUGGAUGGCUUUGCGGUGCAUUAGCUAGUUGGUGGGGUAACGGCCCACCAAGGCGACGAUGCAUAGCCGACCUGAGAGGGUGAUCGGCCACACUGGGACUGAGACACGGCCCAGACUCCUACGGGAGGCAGCAGUAGGGAAUCUUCCACAAUGGACGAAAGUCUGAUGGAGCAACGCCGCGUGAACGAUGAAGGCUUUCGGGUCGUAAAGUUCUGUUGUAAGGGAAGAACAAGUGCCGCAGGCAAUGGCGGCACCUUGACGGUACCUUGCGAGAAAGCCACGGCUAACUACGUGCCAGCCGCCGCCGUAA
rnacentral:rRNA from 1 species